AUGUCAUCAUCAUGCUUGCUAGAAUUGUAAUAAUACAGAGAAAAUUAGCAUAGCCCCUAGACAAAGAUGACAUACAAAUUCAUGGAGUGUUUCAUAAUUAU
rnacentral:snRNA from 1 species